rnacentral:rRNA from 1 species
UACGUAGGGGGCUAGCGUUGCUCGGAAUCACUGGGCGUAAAGGGCGCGUAGGCGGGCUCUUAAGUCCGGGGUGAAAGCCCAAGGCUCAACCUUGGAAUUGCCUUUGAUACUGAGGGCCUUGAGACCGGAAGAGGUCGGCGGAACUGCGAGUGUAGAGGUGAAAUUCGUAGAUAUUCGCAAGAACACCAGUGGCGAAGGCGGCCGACUGGUCCGGUUCUGACGCUGAGGCGCGAAAGCGUGGGGAGCAAACAGG